GACGAACCGUGCGAACGUUGUUCGGAAUCACUGGGCUUAAAGGGCGCGUAGGCGGGCGGCCGCGUCCGGGGUGAAAUACCACGGCUCAACCGUGGAACGGCCUCGGAUACGGGCGGCCUCGAGGGAGGUAGGGGCAUCGGGAACUGUGAGUGGAGCGGUGAAAUGCGUUGAUAUUCACAGGAACUCCGGUGGCGAAGGCGCGGUGCUGGACCUCAUCUGACGCUGAGGCGCGAAAGCCAGGGGAGCGAACGGG
rnacentral:rRNA from 1 species